CACUUGUUCCGACGUACUCACUCAUCAACUACACAUGAACGCAGGUGAAGAAGCAUCGAAUUUGAUUGGAAAGUCAAGUCAUAGAAGGUGAAAACCCUGUAAGAUGCGUCUCUUCACCCCUAAAAUACCAGUUCGUGGAGUCGAGUUGUUUGGGAUUGCAACUCGAAGUUGGUGGUAAACAUCAUCAAAGGCUAAAUAGUGUCAAGAGACCGAUAGCGAACAAGUACCGUGAGGGAAAGAUGAAAAGAACUUUGAAAAAAGAGUGAAAUAGUACUUGAAAUCGUGGUUAGGUUAAGCGCAGAGGCUGAGUGGUAUUGUAGAACUUGUGUCCUUUACAGUUGUGAAGGGUUUAAGUUGUAUGAUAGGUGUAUGGGGUGUUUACUUACCCAAAUCAUUGAGUGAGUGAGCACCCCACACACAAAAUCAACCUCUUCGUCCCGUCUUGAAACACGGACCAAGGAGUCUAUCAUGGAUGCGAGUACGUUGGUGUCAAACCAAAGUGCGUAAUGAAAGUAAAUCGUGUGAUCAUUGAAAGAUGCGCAACAUGUGCCGAUCUGGAUUCUCUGAAGAAAGAUUCGAGUAAUAGCAUUUAUGGUGGGACCCGAAAGAUGGUGAACUAUGCCUGAAUAGGACGAAGCCAGGGGAAACUCUGGUGGAGGUUCGAGUGGAUUCUAACGUGCAAAUUGAUCUUUAAAUUUGGGUAUAGGGGCGAAAGACUAAUCGAACCAUCUAGUAGCUGGUUCCUUCCGAAAUUUCCCUCAGGAUAGCUGCAACUUAUGAAAUAGUUUUAUGAGGUAAAGCGAAUGAUUAGAGGCUUCGGGAAUGUACUAUUCUUGACCUAUUCUCAAACUUUAAAUGGGUAAGAAGCAGUUGAUGUUUAGUUAAUCAGCUGUGAUGAAUAUGAGUUGCAAGUGGGCCAUUCCGGGUAAGCUGGACUGGCGAUGCGGGAUCAACCGAACGCUAUGGUACGGCGCCUGAUUAUUCGCUCAGUAGGACGUAAAAGGUGUUAGUUCAUCUAGACAGCAGGACGGUGGCCAUGGAAGUCGGAAUCCGCUAAGGAGUGUGUAACAACUCACCUGCCGAAUGAAGUAGCCCUGAAAAUGGAUGGCGCUCAAGCGAAUAGCCUAACCAUAGCCAUUCGAUUUAGUUUUAUAGUCGAAUGAGUAGGAAGGCGUGAUGGAGGUAGAGAAGACUAGCGUGUGAACGCAGUUGGAACGUCCAUUAGUGCAGAUCUUGGUGGAAGUAGCAAAUAUUCAAAUGAGAUCUUUGAAGACUGAAGUGGAGAAAGGUUCCAUAGGAAUCGUGAUGAUCUAUGGGUUAGUCGAUCCUAAGAGAUAGGUGAAAUCCAUUGAAAGGAUGACGUUCGUCAUCGUCUAUCGAAAGGGAAUCAGGUUAAUAUUCCUGAACCAAUAGAAGUGUGUCGGUAACGGUAUUGAGAUUGAAGACAUUGAUGGUACUCCUGGGAAGAGUUGUCUUUUCUUGUUAACAAAUGGCAGUCCUUGGAAUAAAUUCAGUUUGCGAGAAGGAUUGUGGUUUGGUAAAGGUUCCUGCUUGUUGGGAGCUCUGGUGCAGUAUCAGCAGUCCUUGAAAAUUCAAUCUCAACGUAACUUCUAUUGUUCGUACUCAUAACCGCAUCAGGUCUCCAAGGUGAAUAGCCUCUAGUUAAUAGAAUAAUGUAGGUANACAUUGAUGGUACUCCUGGGAAGAGUUGUCUUUUCUUGUUAACAAAUGGCAGUCCUUGGAAUAAAUUCAGUUUGCGAGAAGGAUUGUGGUUUGGUAAAGGUUCCUGCUUGUUGGGAGCUCUGGUGCAGUAUCAGCAGUCCUUGAAAAUUCAAUCUCAGCGUAACUUCUAUUGUUCGUACUCAUAACCGCAUCAGGUCUCCAAGGUGAAUAGCCUCUAGUUCAUAGAAUAAUGUAGGUAAGGGAAGUCGGCAAAUUAGAUCCGUAACUUCGGGAAAAGGAUUGGCUCUGAGGGCUAAGCAGAAUGAGUAUUGGUUAGGAAACGGCUUGUGGUGCAUGGGUUUGUUGUGCUUUCGGGUGUGAUGAAUGUGUGUACUAUGAAAAGGGCCCUGACCUCUACUUCCCUGCAAUGAAUAGCUAACUCAGAAGGCUUAGAGGUGUUCUAUGGAUUUGUUGAAGUGUGGUGU
rfam:Blastocystis sp. NandII AV274scaffold_25, whole genome shotgun sequence.